rnacentral:rRNA from 1 species
GAAAAGAAACCAACAGGGAUUGCCCUAGUAACGGCGAGUGAAGCGGCAACAGCUCAAAUUUGAAAUCUGGCUUCGGCCCGAGUUGUAAUUUGCAGAGGAUGUUUCUGGCGCGGUGCCUUCCGAGUUCCCUGGAACGGGACGCCACAGAGGGUGAGAGCCCCGUAUGGUUGGACACCAAACCUGUGUGAAACUCCUUCGACGAGUCGAGUAGUUUGGGAAUGCUGCUCAAAAUGGGAGGUAAAUCUCUUCUAAAGCUAAAUACCGGCCAGAGACCGAUAGCGCACAAGUAGAGUGAUCGAAAGAUGAAAAGCACCUUGAAAAGGGGGUUAAACAGUACGUGAAAUUGUUGAAAGGGAAGCGCUUGUGACCAGACUUGCGCCGGGCGGUUCAUCCGGGGUUCUCCCCGGUGCACUCCGCCCGGCUCAGGCCAGCAUCGGUUUUCGUUGGGGGAUAAGAACGUCAGGAACGUGGCCCUCCUUCGGGUGGGUGUUAUAGCCUGGCGUACGAUACCCUGACGGGGACCGAGGUUCGCGCUCCCAAGGAUGCUGG